ACCCCUUUCUACUAAUCUCUCUCAAAGCAAGAGAAGGCAAAAUGCCAUUUUGGCUUCAAUUUGUCUCCUUUUGGGGCAUUUUCCAAGGUGUCCAGUCAGAGAUCAAGCUGGUGGAGUCUGGAGGGGAUGUAAAAAGGCCUGGAGACUCCAUCCGCCUCUCCUGUCGAGCCUCUGGCUUCACUUUCAGAGAUUACUACAUGAACUGGGUGAGACAGGCUCCUGGAAAAGGUUUGGAAUGGGUGUCACAAAUAGGUACAAGCUCAUCUCCUCUUCGCUAUUCGGAUUCCGUCAAAGGCCGAUUCACCAUCUCCAGGGAUGAUUCAAACAGCCUGCUGAAUUUCCAAUUGAACAAUCUGAAAAUGGAGGACACUGCAAUAUAUUAUUGUGCAAGAGACACAGUGAGAGGAAGUGAAUCUGAAGUCUGCCAAAAACUCUUUCUUAAGAGUGAUAUCUCUUCCAGCCGACUAAUCUUUGUGAGUCACAAGGCAGAGUUGAGAUGCAAAGUGACAGUGCAAUUGUAA